rnacentral:lncRNA from 1 species
GUGAUCUGUACGGGGUUCCUAGUGUGGAUGGGAACUAGGUUGAAUACGCCUCACCUCUGGAAAGCAGCCAAUCCCUUUCAGCCUGAUGCAUUCCCGGGUUUUCUGGCCAUCCAGAACAUCCACUAUUUUUGUCUCCAGAGAAACAGAGGAAUUGUACAAGUUGUUUAAACAGAAAAUAAGGCCAUCCUUUUCUACUUCUACUACAACAAAGCAACAUCCCAUAUUGAUCUUGGAAGAGAGCCUUCAACAUAUACUGAAGAUCAGGCUGGAAUGUAAGCGUUCUUCUUCUUGGGCAAGUACCGCAAGUUGAGCCAAACUACAGAGAAACUUAAAAGAGCAGAUGGUAAGAAUCAGGGCAGAAGAAGGACUCCUGAAGCCACUGAAGGAAGGAAAUCAUUACAGGGUUCUACAGAAGUAGGUCAUGUGCUACAGCUGCUCAUAGUUUAAGAGGAAGAAACAUGGGACCUCAAACAUGGAACAUGACUCUUUCAAAAUGCUUGAGAGCAGCCCAAGAAAAACAUCCUCAGAGGCUUAUUUAAUAAACA